rnacentral:rRNA from 1 species
GCUCAGGAUGAACGCUAGCUACAGGCUUAACACAUGCAAGUCGAGGGGUAGCAGGGUAGCAAUACCGCUGACGACCGGCGCACGGGUGAGUAACACGUAUCCAACUUUCCCAUAACUCAGGGAUAGCCUUUCGAAAGAAAGAUUAAUACCUGAUAGUACUUAAGAAAGGCAUCUUUUUUAAGUUAAAGAUUUAUUGGUUAUGGAUGGGGAUGCGUUCCAUUAGAUAGUUGGUGAGGUAACGGCUCACCAAGUCUUCGAUGGAUAGGGGUUCUGAGAGGAAGGUCCCCCACAUUGGUACUGAGACACGGACCAAACUCCUACGGGAGGCAGCAGUGAGGAAUAUUGGUCAAUGGGCGAGAGCCUGAACCAGCCAAGUAGCGUGA